rnacentral:rRNA from 1 species
GACGAACGCUGGCGGCGUGCUUAACACAUGCAAGUCGAACGGAAAGGCCCUGCUUUUGUGGGGUGCUCGAGUGGCGAACGGGUGAGUAACACGUGAGUAACCUGCCCUUGACUUUGGGAUAACUUCAGGAAACUGGGGCUAAUACCGGAUAGGAGCUCCCGCAGCAUGGUGGUGGUUGGAAAGUUUCGGCGGUUGGGGCUGGACUCGCGGCUUAUCAGCUUGUUGGUGGGGUAGUGGCUUACAAAGGGUUUGACGGGUAGCCGGCCUGAGAGGGUGACCGGCCACAUUGGGACUGAGAUACGGCCCAGACUCCUACGGGAGGCAGCAGUGGGGAAUAUUGCACAAUGGGCGGAAGCCUGAUGCAGCAACGCCGCGUGCGGGAUGACGGCCUUCGGGUUGUAAACCGCUUUCGCCUGUGACGAAGCGUGAGUGACGGUAAUGGGUAAAGAAGCACCGGCUAACUACGUG